rnacentral:rRNA from 1 species
UACAGAGGUGGCAAGCGUUGUUCGGAAUUACUGGGCGUAAAGGGCGCGUAGGCGGCCUUCUAAGUCAGACGUGAAAUCCCCCGGCUUAACCUGGGAACUGCGUCUGAUACUGGAGGGCUUGAGUGCGGGAGAGGGAUGUGGAAUUCCAGGUGUAGCGGUGAAAUGCGUAGAUAUCAUGAGGAAUACCAGAGGCGAAGGCGGCUACCUGGACAAUUGCUGACGCUCAGGCACGAAAGCGUGGGGAGCAAAAGGG